UCUCAGUUCGGAUUGGAGUCUGNAACCCGACUCCAUGAAGCUGGAUUCGCUAGUAAUCGCGCAUCAGCCACGGCGCGGUGAAUACGUUCCCGGGCCUUGUACACACCGCCCGUCAAGCCAUGGGAGCCGGGGGCGCCUGAAGUCCGGGACCGCGAGGACCGGCCUAGGGCGAAACUGGUAACUGGGGCUAAGUCGUAACAAGGUACC
rnacentral:rRNA from 1 species